CCUACGGGUGGCAGCAGUGGGGAAUAUUGGGCAAUGGGCGCAAGCCUGACCCAGCAACGCCGCGUGAAGGAAGAAGGCUUUCGGGUUGUAAACUUCUUUUGUCAGGGAAGAGUAGAAGACGGUACCUGACGAAUAAGCCACGGCUAACUACGUGCCAGCAGCCGCGGUAAUACGUAGGUGGCAAGCGUUGUCCGGAUUUACUGGGUGUAAAGGGCGUGUAGCCGGGAAGGCAAGUCAGAUGUGAAAUCCGGAGGCUCAACCUCCGAAUUGCAUUUGAAACUGUUUUUCUUGAGUACUGGAGAGGCAGACGGAAUUCCUUGUGUAGCGGUGAAAUGCGUAGAUAUAAGGAGGAACACCAGUGGCGAAGGCGGUCUGCUGGACAGCAACUGACGGUGAGGCGCGAAAGCGUGGGGAGCAAACAGGAUUAGAUACCCGAGUAGUC
rnacentral:rRNA from 1 species